AGUACCUCUGAAGCACCAAGGGGAGAUGGAGGGGAGUGUAGGAGGAAAGAACGUGGUGCAGGUCUUAGGUCUGUGAAAAGACGGGCGGGAGGAAGGGGCUUUGAGUAGGAUGAGACUCGUACUGCAGUGCAGCUCUGAGAAAGCACUGCUAGGUUGAUGCGUGGUCUCAGAACAGAGGUUGCUCAGUAGAAGAGUCACAUGUUAGACGGGGGUGGUCUGGUCUAGGAGCUGUGCACCUGCUCCGUCAUCGGUUGGGAGGAGCAGGAUCUUGAUGUCUGCACUGUGGCAGAUCACAAAAGUGCGGCAGAUGGAGUGGUCGGCUAGCUACUCUCCUCAUAGCAGAAUCUGUCUUGAAGAAAUAUCUGGGCACCACAUGCCUCUGGCCACCACAUCUCUACUCUAAAAACCCUCACUUGAGUGCCAGCCUCAUGCAGAAGAAAGUAUUAGUUGCUGUCUGGGUCAGUUCGGGCUGCUGUCCCAUAGAUUCAUAAACAGCAGAAGUUUAUUCCUUACAGUUCUGGCUGUUGGAAAUUCAAGAUCAGGGGACCAGCAUUGUCCAGUUCUGGUGAAGGUCCUUUUCUGGAGUGGAGACGGCUGAUUUCUUGUUGAACUUGCACAUGGCCAAAAGACGGCAAGCUAGCUCUCUGGCUUCCUAAAUAUGCACCGAUCUGGAGUUCCUGUUGUGGCUCGGCAGGUUAAGAACCCAACAUUGUGUCUAUGAGGAUGCAGCUUCCAUCCCUGGCCUCCCUCAGUGGGUUAGGAUCUGGCAUUGCUGUAAGCUGUGGCAUAGGUCACAGAUGCGGUUCAGAUCCAUUGCUGCUGCCAAUGUGCUGUAGGCUGGCAGCUGCAGCUUCAAUUGGACCCCUAGCUCAGGAACUUCCAUAUGUCGAGGGUGCGGCUGUUUAAAAAAAAAAAAAAAAGUGCUGAUCCCUUCAUGAGGCUCUACCCUGAUGACCUGAUUACCUCCAAGUUUCCACCGCCAAAUAUCAUCACAUUGGAGAUGAGACUUCGACAUGUGAAUUUUGGGGUCCCACAAUUGUUCAGUCCGUAACAGGUACUCUUUAUUCAGUGGUUGUGCAAGAAAAGAAGACAUUACCUUUUCUUAAAGAACAUACAGUGUCAUUUAGGAGAAUGACCUGGAGUACUAGAUUACUUUUCCAUAAAAUCUUUCAUUGACUCCUCAUUUAAUUCAUACCAAAAAUAGAACCUCACCAGACAUUGCCCAAAUCCUAAUAGUAGCCACUCAAAAAUAUGUUGUGAGAGUGCUCUCUUGCCCCUUCCCUGGUGCCAACUCCCUCUGCUCCUUGGAGUCUGGGUCUUUCUGUCUUCUCCUGCCUGCCUUCCACUCAUUUGCCAUCUAGCAGGCACAGUAUGUGCUUUCAAAAACAUAUUCCGGUCCUCUCAUUUCUUCUUAAAACAUUCCGAUGGUCUCGGAUUGCUCUGGGUGCUAUCUAAGCUCUUUCUGAGGCUUGCAAGCCCCUGCAGGAUCCGGUGGGCGCCCAGCUCAUCCUGCACUGCUCUCCCUGACCAUGCAGGCAGCCUCUUCUUCCUCCCCGAUCCUCAGGCUGGACCAUCCCUUCUGCCUCCAGAGCUUGGCACUUGUAUCCCUUCUGUCUGGAAUGUCCUUUCCUGGUUCUUCUCACUAUUGUCUCCUCCGUCUUUAUAUUUUAAAUAUCAUACAAGCUGCAUCCACUUGAUUUGGGCUGCUCCUAACCUGAAGCAGAGCCAGGUCUUGACUUUCGUGAUUGGCUCGGGAGGCUUCUACCAUGUAUGGUUAGGUGUCCAUCAACAGCCACCUGAACCAAACAGAGCUGUUUUUUUUGCUUUGGGGGAAGGCUGAGACAACAGUAGCAAGAUUAAAGAAACACUUCCAUCUUGGGUCUAUUUGUCAACAGGUUAGUCAAAUAUCCCCUUUGUAAAUGCAAAUUAAUCGUGCAAACUGGUAGUGUUAAAUAGGAAGACUUGUCUGUUUGGAGGAAUGCCUGAAUAAAAUGGAUCAUUUAUAGUGUGAUUGUAUGUUUGAUUUUUUUUAGUUAUAGCUAAAUGUGUAUCCAGACGGCCACUGUAGAGUCUGAGAUACAGUAGAUUCUCAGUAAGUUAUCCUGAGUUAACGUAAAUGGGUCUCUAUGUAGAUAAUGCUGUUGUAAUCUUAUGGUACCCUGCCUGUCGCAAAGAGUGGGUAAAGCUUAUUUGCAUGUCCUGUUUUAAAGAUCUAGAACUUGUGAAUAUUUGAGGAUGGCCUGGAUGGUGGUAAAUGAAGUAAUAGACUUCAUACUGUCAUCACUCCCUGCUUCAUUCAUUCUCUCCUGAUUCUAAAUUAAUAUUCUUACAAAAAAAUGAGGAAGAUUGAAAGAAACAUAGGUCCGAAGAGAGAAAAACAGGUGGAUCUCUGUUAAGCUCGUUGCUCUUUUUCCUGCGGAUUUGUCAUUCGAUGAAAAGGAAUAUAUAGAAAGAAAAUUUAUCCCGUGUCAUUUGUCUUAUUUCAUAAUGUGCAGAGUAGUAAGUAGAUUAGCAACUAUUAAGACUUGUGGUUGCCGAGGAGGAGGGAGUGAGAUGAAUUCGGCACUUGGGGUUAGUAGAUGCAGACUAUCGCCUUUGGAAUGGAUGAGCAAUGAGAUUCUGCUGUGUAGCCCUGGGAACUAUAUCUAGUCACUUAUGAUGGAGCAUGAUGGAGGAUAAUGUGAGAAAAAGAAUGUAUGUAUAGCUAUGUGUGACUGGGUCACCUUGCUGUACAGUAGAACAUUGAUAGAACUGUAAACCAGCUAUAAUGGAGAAAAUAAAAAUUAUUUAAAAAUGCUAUGCUCAUUUUUUAUGCCUAAUGUUGGCACACUUCUUUUUUUCCUCACAGUGCCAGAUAGGAAAUAUUCUAGGCUUUGCUGACUACAUGGUUCUGUCCCAUCUUCUCCUUUUCAUCCCCUCUCCUCCUCCUCUUCCUUCUCCUCCCCUUCUUUCUUCUUCUCCUAUUAUAGCUCUUUAAAAUGUAAAAAACGUUAUUAGCUCCUGGCAGGGCUGUGAUAAGGGGCCAGAUUGGGCCUGCAUCUGUACGUUAUGCUAUAACCCAACCCAAUUCAGAACAGCGCAGACCAGGCAGGAGCUCUCACCUGAGACUGGUGCAAUACGAGGGAAAUGUUAAACUCUAAAACUGUGGGGGAUUUGUCCUUCUGAUUAUAUCCAAGGAGAAAUUAAAAUGUGCGUUUGCAUGGGAGCAGAAAGAAUAAGACCAGAAAUAUGCAGCAGUUCAGAUAGACAAGUAUUUCCUAGUUUCUUGUUCCGUCUGGGAUUUAGAAACUGAUGGAACUUCUAAUUUAUGGUCAGAAUUUCAAAGUUUUGAGCUAGAUUACAAGUGUGAGAAAAACAUGGCUUUUGCACAUUAUCAUGGGAAAGAAGGACACGGGUUGUCUCCCAGAGUAUCUGCGGAAUGUGAUUGGUGGAUGUCCUUUUUUAUGCUAGUCCGCGUUCAGUCAAGUCUGUGCAUGCAGGUUGCGUAAGUACCAGUGUUCAGAAGGGCUGCUGCCAGUGGUGUGCCCUCCAAAGAGAAAAAGCAAAGUGUUUACUGAUUUUCACGGUGUAAAUUCUCCCACUGUCACCCAUUGUAAGCUGCCAGUAGCUUACUAUUCAUCUGACCAAAUUCAUGAACAUUUAAUAAUUAACUUUUCAGGCUGAUGGAAACUGACUCCAGCAGAACACUGGUUGUUGCCCAGCUGAGAAAGUGUUUUCUGUGUCUUAGAAUACUUCCCUGAAAGGUAUCUAGUCCUUACUCUAUAAGAUUGGCUUGCUUUUAAGCAAUAGUUUUAAGGGAACAAUGGAGAAAAUUCGGAGCAUCGUUAAAAUACCUUUUAUUUUUUCGACGUGGGGAAGUUCCCACGCCAGGGACUGAACCCGGAGCACAUCUGUGACCUGUGCUACAGCCGAGACCGUGCCGGGUCUUUAACCUGUUGCGCCACUGGGGAACUUCCAAAAACACCUUUUUUUUGGUCAAAGAUUGGCAAACUAGAGGCUUGUGGAUCAAAUCUGGCCCAUGGUCUAUUUUUGUGUAGCCCGUCAGCUUAGAAUGACUUUUGCAUUUUUAAAGGGUUCUUCAAAAAAAACAAAAGAAAAAGAAGAGGGUGACGGGAAAGGAAGAGACCACACAAGAGAGACCGCCACGCUGUCUGGCUCUUUACAGGAAAAGUAGACUGACCCUGAAUUGAAAAAAUGCAGUGUAGGAGUUCCUGUUGUGGCUCAGUGGUGACGAACCCAGCUAGUAUCCAUGAGGAUGCAGGUUUGAUCCCUGGCCUCGCUCAGUGGGUUAAGGAUCUGGCAUUGCUGUGGGCUGUGGUGUAGAUUGCAGAUGUGGCUCAGAUCCCGCCCUGAGUUGCUGUGGCUGUGGUGCAGGCCGGCAGCUACAGUGGCAAUCAACCUCUAGCCUGGGAACUUCUACAAGCUGCAGAUUCGGCCCUCAAAAGCAAAAGCAAAAAAAAAAAAAAAAAAAA
rnacentral:lncRNA from 1 species